ensembl:snRNA
GUGUUAUAUGAAAGAAGAGAAAGUUAGGAUUCUCCUUGACAAGGAUGGAUGAGGUCCUCUGGCCUCACAACAUGCAUAUGGUUGUCAUCGACACCUACUUCCUGACAUCUAACCACUGGUUUUU